rnacentral:rRNA from 1 species
GACGAACGCUGGCGGCGUGCUUAACACAUGCAAGUCGAACGGAGUGGCGAACGGGUGAGUAAUGUAUCGGAACGUGCCCAGUAGCGGGGGAUAACUACGCGAAAGCGUAGCUAAUACCGCAUACUAUUGGAGCGGCCGAUAUCGGAUUAGCUAGUUGGUGGGGUAACGGCUCACCAAGGCGACGAUCCGUAGCUGGGUUGAGAGGACGACCAGCCACACUGGGACUGAGACACGGCCCAGAUGCCGACGUGCGGCCGCAGUGGGGAAUUUUGGACAAGGGGAGAAACCCUGAUACAGCCAUCCCGCGUGUGCGAUGAAGGCCUUCGGGUUGUAAAGCACUUUUGGCAGGAAAGCGGGACCUGCAGAAUAAGCACCGGCUAACUACGUGCCAGCAGCCGCGGUAAUUC